AUGGCGGCGUGCCUAAUACAUGCAAGUCGAGCGCGGGAAGCAAACUGAAUCCUUCGGGAGGACGUUUGUGGAACGAGCGGCGGACGGGUGAGUAACACGUGGGCAACCUGCCUGUAAGACUGGGAUAACUCCGGGAAACCGGGGCUAAUACCGGAUAACUCAUCGGAUCGCAUGAUCCGAGGUUGAAAGAUGGCUUCUUGCUAUCACUUACAGAUGGGCCCGCGGCGCAUUANCUAGUUGGUGAGGUAACGGCUCACCAAGGCCACGAUGCGUAGCCGACCUGAGAGGGUGAUCGGCCACACUGGGACUGAGACACGGCCCAUACUCCUACGGGAGGCAGCAGUAGGGAAUCAUCCGCAAUGGACGAAAGUCUGACGGUGCAACGCCGCGUGAGUGAGGAAGGCCUUCGGGUCGUAAAACUCUGUUGUUAGGGAAGAACAAGUUCCGUUCGAAUAGGGCGGAGCCUUGACGGUACCUAACCAGAAAGCCACGNCUAACUA
rnacentral:rRNA from 1 species